GACUGCUCGCGCCGGUGAGGCCUGCGCGGCAGGAGGGGGCGGGAGGAUGCGGGCGGGCCGGUAGCCAGGCGCGGGGCCCGAGGCCCGACGCUGGCCGAGGUGCUGAGCCGCCGGUGCGUCCCCCAGGCUGGUGGCCGAGCUGCAGGGAGCCCUGGACGCCUGCGCACAGCGACAAUUGCAAUUGGAGCAGAGCCUGCGCGUUUGCCGUCGGCUGCUGCAUGCCUGGGAACCAACUGGGACCCGGGCUUUGAAGCCACGUCCAGGGCCAGAAACUAAUGAAGAGGACCCCCUUCCAGCAUGCACACCUAGUCCACAAGACCUCAAAGAGUUGGAGUUUCUGACCCAGGCACUGGAGAAGGCUGUACGAGUUCGAAGAGGCAUCACUAAGGCUGGAGAAAGAGACAAGGCCCCCAGCCUGAAAUCUAGGCCCAUUGUCACCUCUUCUGGCACGACAGUCUCCGCCCCACCCCAUUCCCCAGGCCAAGCUGGUGGCCAUGCUUCAGACAGGAGACCCACCAAGGGCCUCUGCCAGACCACGGUGCCUGCCAAGGGCCACCCUGAGCGCCGGCUGCUGUCAGUGGGGGAUAGGACCCGUGUUGGGAUGGGAGCCCGAACCCCCAGGCCUGGGGCGGGCCUCAGGGACCAGCAAAUGGCCCCAUCCGCUGCUCCUCAGGCCCCAGAAGCCUUCACACUCAAGGAGAAGGGGUAGGUUUCCCGGACCCUCACUGGAGGGACUUCUGUCUCUGCCUCCUCAGACCCUGGCUAGCAAGGAGCCUGGGAUUUGGGGUGACAGGGAAGGCAGGGCAUCGAGCCCUGUGGCGUACCCCUGAGGCUCAUGCUCAGAAGCUGGCAGAAUGAAGCAGCUGUGUGGUGGUGUCCAGGUUGGCACCAUCAGGUCAGGGAAGUACUGGAGCCUGUCCUCCUCUCUUC
rnacentral:sRNA from 1 species